UGUGUCGCUGUGCAGGGAACUACACUUUGGAAUGUGUUGAUAACUCCUGUGACCCCACUGAAGAGUGUCGAGAGGUUAAUGGUGUUGCAGGCUGCUAUCCUAAAGGUACAUCCACGUGCGUCGCAUCUGGUGAUCCACACUACACCAGCUUUGACAAACGCAAAUAUGACUUCAUGGGCAACUGCAGCUAUCUGAUGUCUAGUCCAUGCAAUGACACAACUGUGCCCUACUUUGAGGUCCAUACUGACAAUGAAACCGGUAUAACAGGCCGACCAUCUCCUAUGUGAAGGCCGUACAUGUAUACGCACAGAUGGUAAAGAUCUCCAUUCUCAAAGGUGGCACUGUGCAGGUUAAUGGGACCAAUGUCAAUCUGCCACUGUCCCCGGCCCCUGGUAUUUCUGUGUUCAAGUCAGGAAAACACUACACUGUCUCCAUGAACUUUG